rnacentral:lncRNA from 1 species
GCAGAGAAACAUCAACUACUGGCUCAUAGACUACGGAUUCCUGAGGAUCUAUAGCUCUAGACUCUUCAGAGAUCUUCUCUUCGGGUUCCAUUAACCUCCCACUGCCGCCAUCCUAAAUAAACUAUUUUUUCAGGAACACGGCAUUUCGACUCACAAAUCACAUUAUGGUCUUAUGGAAAGUAGUAUUCUAUGAAUUUUUUUGGGUAUCCUAUAAAGUGAGCUAUAAUAGAUCUAUCCUCCAAUUUUUUUGUCAUCUAUCUCUUGACAUAGGCCGGAUAUCCCCAAGUCUUAAGAUAACCC